UAGAUAAAAAAUAUAUUGUUUGGGCUCGACCCUUACAGCGAAAUAAAAUUUUAGAUAAUAAGUAGUGUAAUUUUUAUCAAUGUUCAAGAAAUUCAAUAGUAUAAAGACAAUCAAUCUUAAUUUCAUUAAUUAGUCUCUAAAAAUUAUUAUCCAAUCAAGAUAUCAAAAGUGUAUCAACUUUAACAUAUAAAUAGGAAGAAAUAGAUAGCAGAAAAUUCCCCAUCCUCAUGAGUUCAUAUCCUCAACAAACUUGGCUGUUUUUACAAGUUAAUAUUAUAACAAUUGAAUAGGAGAGUAAAGUCAUAAAUCUGUAGGAUAAAAAAGGAGAACCAAGUAGAGGGUUCAUUAGGAGGCAGGUAUAAGACAUUCUUUGCUGCAGUUUUCUUGCAAGUUGAGUUUGCAGUCAUGGAUAUCUUAUCUACGACUGCAUUAAACCUGGGGAUGAGCAUUGCCACCCUUGUUAUGGCUCCUUUCGCUGCUUUUCUUGACAGGAAAAGCAGCGAAAAGAGCCAUAACAAGGGUGGCAAUGGCAUGGCGGUAAACAUCCAGUACGUAAAUUGCUCAUCCCCAGGAUUAAUGCAAACCUAACUUGCAAGAAAACUGCAGCAAAGAAUGGCUUAUACCUGCCUCCUAAUGAACCAUCUACUUGGUUCUCCAUUUUCAUCUUAUCGAUUUAUGACUUUACUCUCCAAUUCAAUUGUUAUAAUAUUAACUUGUAAAAACAGCCAAGUUUGUUGAGGAGAUGAACUCAAGAGGAUGAGGAAUUUUAUGCUAUCUAUUUCUUCCUAUUUAUAUGCUAAAGGUAAUACACUUUUAAUAUCUUGAUUGGGUAAUAAUUUUUAGAGGCUAAUUACUAUAGAUUUCUAAUGAAAUUAGGAUGGAUGGUCUUUGUACCAUUGAAUAUCUUGAACAUUGAUUAAAAAUUAUACUAUUUAUUAUCCAAAAUUUUAUCACUGUUAGGGUCGGGAACAUUUAAUGGCUGCCUCUACCUCGUUAAAUUAUUUUUCAAAGAGAUUUUAUUUUAUUAAAAUAUGGAAUAUAUUGUAAUUUCCUUUUUUUUUUUUUUUAAGUA